rnacentral:sRNA from 1 species
GAGUCGUUUAGUAGGUGGGUCCUAAAAUC